rnacentral:tRNA from 1 species
GAUCGACUAGCGCAGUGGUAUUGUGACUGGGGUGCAACCAGUAGGUUGUGGGUUCGAAUCCCACAUCCCCCC